rfam:Kytococcus sp. HMSC28H12 Kytococcus_spHMPREF3099-1.0_Cont72.1, whole genome shotgun sequence.
GGGCGCAUAGCUCAGUUGGUUAGAGCGUUCGCUUCACACGCGAGAGGUCAGGGGUUCGAGUCCCUUUGCGCCCA